GACGAACGCUGGCGGCGUGCUUAACACAUGCAAGUCGAACGGAGCUAUUUAUUUCGGUAGAUAGCUUAGUGGCAAACGGGUGAGUAACGCGUAGGCAACCUGCCCUCAGGAUGGGGACAACGGCUCGAAAGAGCCGCUAAUACCGAAUGACGUAACUCUUCCACAUGGAAGAGAUACUAAAGAUGGGUCAAACCAUCGCCUAAGGAUGGGCCUGCGUCUGAUUAGCCAGUUGGUGAGGUAACGGCUCACCAAAGCGACGAUCAGUAGCCGGUCUGAGAGGAUGAACGGCCACAAUGGGACUGAGACACGGCCCAUACUCCUACGGGAGGCAGCAGUGGGGAAUCUUCCGCAAUGGGCGAAAGCCUGACGGAGCAACGCCGCGUGAGUGAAGAAGGUCUUCGGAUCGUAAAGCUCUGUUGUCGGGGACGAAGAGUAGACGAGGAAAUGCGUCUACUAAGACGGUACCCGACG
rnacentral:rRNA from 1 species